rnacentral:rRNA from 1 species
UACGUAGGGUGCGAGCGUUUAAUCGGGAAUUACUGGGCGUAAAGCGUGCGUAGACGGUUACAUAAGUCGGGUGUGAAAAGCCCCGGGCUCAACCUGGGAAUUGCAUUCGAGACUGCGUAGCUAGGGUGCGGAAGAGGGAAGCGGAAUUUCCGGUGUAGCGGUGAAAUGCGUAGAUAUCGGAAGGAACACCAGUGGCGAAAGCGGCUUCCUGGUCCAGCACCGACGUUCAGGCACGAAAGCGUGGGGAGCAAACAGG